GCCGGGCCGAGUGGUCUUUAACAGCACAAGGAGAAAGUUAUUAAUCAGACGUGUUCGCCUCUUACAGCUUUUCCCGCAGAGAAGGAGGAGGAGGAGGAGGAGGAGGAGGGUGAAACCUGGUGGUGUGAUGAAUGCUCUCACUUCGACGCGUUUCAAAAGUACAGUUUAUCCGUGAGGAAUGGAGCGGCUUGCACACAGGCAGAGGGGAAAUUGCCUUUUCCUUUGACCUGCAGCCAGGGGUGAGGGAGUGAAUGGAAAGCGAUAUGAGAGUGUCUGCCCUCUGAGGUGAUGAAUACGGUGCAAAUUAGCGGAAGAGGCCCUUCAAUCUCUGCGGCUGUGACUUCUCCCAUUCUUACCGCUCUAAAUUGUUCUCUGUCUUUUUGCUCUUUCAUUUCUUCCUCAAUGUUUCUUCAUUUUUAUAUCUCCUCCAGCCCUGCAGGAUCUCUGCGCUGCACAGCAUUACAGCAGCGUUGUUCCGAGUUCGUCCGGGCUGACAGGGUGAGCUCAGAGAGGUCGAGAGGGCGAGGGCAGCAUUUGCAGACGGAAAGCUGAGGCAGCACGGCCCACGGUGAGAUCGCAGCGUGCAGCAGGAAUCAGGAGACCUCGCAGACACAAAGAAGCGUGACCUUGAGACAAAAAUCAACACAAAUCCAUCGAGUGUGGACUGCGGCUCAGAGGCCUCGCCACCCUGCAUACAUGUCUGCUCAUUGGCAUAUGGUGUUUCGCUCAGAAUGGAUUAGACCGAGCCCCUCAUGAAUUAUUGUUGAAAGAUCA